rnacentral:tRNA from 1 species
GGGCGAGUAGCUCAGCGGUAGAGCGCCUCGCUUACACCGAGGAGGUCGCGGGUUCGACCCCUGCCUCGCCCACCA